rnacentral:rRNA from 1 species
CUCAGGUGCGAAAGCGUGGGGAGCUAACAGGAUUAGAUACCCUGGUAGUCCACGCUGUAAACGAUGUCGAUUUGGAGGUUGUGCCCUUGAGGCGUGGCUUCCGGAGCUAACGCGUUAAAUCGACCGCCUGGGGAGUACGGCCGCAAGGUUAAAACUCAAAUGAAUUGACGGGGGCCCGCACAAGCGGUGGAGCAUGUGGUUUAAUUCGAUGCAACGCGAAGAACCUUACCUACUCUUGACAUCCAGAGAACUUAGCAGAGAUGCUUUGGUGCCUUCGGGAACUCUGAGACAGGUGCUGCAUGGCUGUCGUCAGCUCGUGUUGUGAAAUGUUGGGUUAAGUCCCGCAACGAGCGCAACCCUUAUCCUUUGUUGCCAGCGGUUCGGCCGGGAACUCAAAGGAGACUGCCAGUGAUAAACUGGAGGAAGGUGGGGAUGACGUCAAGUCAUCAUGGCCCUUACGAGUAGGGCUACACACGUGCUACAAUGGCAUAUACAAAGAGAAGCGACCUCGCGAGAGCAAGCGGACCUCAUAAAGUAUGUCGUAGUCCGGAUUGGAGUCUGCAACUCGACUCCAUGAAGUCGGAAUCGCUAGUAAUCGUAGAUCAGAAUGCUACGGUGAAUACGUUCCCGGGCCUUGUACACACCGCCC